GUGUGUGAACCAGGUCCUUGUGGCCCGUGCUGCGUGGCAGGAGCAGAAUCACACUGUCAGGAUGUUGAAACCGUUGAUCCUUUGUGUGCUGUAAAGGACACUAUCAGCCAACGCAUCCGCUCACUUCAUCAAUACUAACAGAUGACAGACGCGCGGCUCAUAAAGUGGUUCUGGCUCCAGGUUGAGAACGUUCAUGACGUCACAUCAGAUUGUCCCACCAACAAACGGAACCCGUCUGAACUACUGCUCAUCCGACUGGACCAAUAGCGUUUUAUGGGUCCUGUUGGACAGUGGCUCCGGUGGCGAUGCUGCCUGUUCCACCCUCAGAGCCUCCGUCUGACGCUGGGACUGUGGGGGCGAUAGUCAGCUUCGGGUGCAGCUACACAUGGUGAAAAGGCCUUUGCAGGCCUGUGUCUGUGCUGCUGCUGCUACUGUGCAGCCACAAAGGUCCUGGCUCUGAUUCAACCAUUUACUCCAGUAAUUAACUGCUAGCAGCCACACACGCACCGUCAUCAGCUGUGUCACAGAGACCAGAAGGAAGGAGACAGCCAGAAGCGGAAAAAGUAAAAUUUAAAUAGUAUUAACAAAAAAGGUCCCUGAACGCCCCUCAAACACCAAAACAUCAUCCAAGCUUCCAUCUCACAGAACAGCAGGACGGACAGCAGCUUCCUGUCAAACGGACUUUCUCAGCUACACAAAAGACGAACAUGAGCACGUGACAGGUCGUCGCGCGAUAAACAUGAAACGAGCAAUUAACCCAACGACCGCCUACAAUCAGGAGCUCGCUGGUCUCUGCUUUGGCAGCAGCCUUUUGAACAUCUGGUGGAAGCAGACAAAGGCUGGAGCUACAUGACGGGAGAACAAGCGCCUGAAAGCUUCAUUAUGUCCCAGCUGUUGCCCUCAGCAAAAACAAUCUGGGCAGGAUGAAUGUUGCUGGCAGAUACACCGAGGAUCAUUUGAAGCCAGAGCAGGAGGCAGUGGUGCGUAGUUCAGUGUAAAACAUGUGACAACUUCUCAUUUAACAACUCAUAUAAAGGACCAAAAUGAAACUUAGCCAGGUCAUAUUCAAGCACCUGAAGAUUUAGAAGCAUCAAAGCAAAUGUGUGAUUCACAGGGAUGAAGGUCGCUGUCGGUGCAGGCAGCUCUCGGGUGGGACAGCUUGUUUAAGUCCAGUGCUAUUAGUUCUGGGUCAGCACCUGGGUUUCAGCAGCCCCAUUAAUCAGAGCGCGGACAGCACACGGACGUCAGUAAAUAUGUUGGUUAUAUGUUGACCUGUUCCUGGUUUGCUCUGUAUUAUUAACAUCAGGGCAAAACGUCCUGUUCAUUUUGAGGUUAGGAAACGUUUGUCUUCAAUGUCUGACUGUGGUCGACAAGAAAAAAAACGGUGCAAAACUAAAGCAAACUGCUGAUAAACCUGGUGCAUGUGUGCUGUGAAUGCUGGGACGGUCUGACAGCUCCCGUCCGGCUCUGUGGCCGCCGGCGCUGCUGCAUGCCUGCAGCCCUCACUCAUGGUAACGUCUCAGGCCGGAGCAGGAAACGCGACUGACAGCAAACGGUGACCUUUGCAGAGAUGGAUUCGCGUACACGCCGUCCUUUCAUCACCUGCUGCAGUGACGUUCCCACGGAGGAGGAGCCGACAGCUCCUCUCUGCUCUUUCCAUCACCCUUAGCUGCAUUGGCCUUGAUGUAACGAUGGAGCUUCAAAAGAGAGGCGCAAACGAAGGAAGCAGUUAAAUACCUGACGGGCCAAAUGAAGCAUUACUACAUUCAGACCAUCAGGCCACGGAGCAUCUGUCCAGCAGAUGGCAGCAUCGAGCUGAAACACUCCAAGGGGAGUAUUUACCCUCUCCUGUCUGGGAUCACAACCAGACUGAGUCCAGGCUGUAAGGCUUUACGUCACAUUCUCUAGACUGGUUUUAACUUUUACUCUUUUCCUGCCACCACAGACUCAAUGACGUAAGAGCGUUGUCCUGUAUGAGACAAAGGUGGAGACACAAGGUCAAGAUCACCUGCUGCUGCUGCUUUGGACGCAGGUAAAACAGUGGAAGGAUUCACGUUUCAGAACAUGUAACAGAAUCAAGCAGCCCUUGUUGCUGCCACUGUCCACAGUAACAGCGCCUGUCAAAGCCUGUGACAGGCGCUGGCUUUAGUUGACAGUCGACAUCCAAGUAGCAAUGAGGGGACAGUGUCAGGAUCAUGCAGGUAUUGGACCCACAUGCACAGUGCAGCCAGGUUGGUGGUUUAACUGAUGACAGUCUUUAUUAGCACAGUCGUUGUCAAGGCAGGAAAGAUCAUACACAGCUGAGCUUUCAGCGCAAGUACAAAGGAGUCCACAGCAGAGGUAGAGGCAGGGAGCAGGCAGGAGUCAAGGUACAGAACAAGAGCAAGAUCACGGACACGGUAAGCGAUACAGCAAUGCUGGAGAGUGGUGAGUACACACGACCACCUGGCAAGUGACUGGUGUGUGAUCUGGAGGCUAAAUACUGGAGCUUGAUUACAUGAUUACUGGCAGGUGUGUCUGACGUGGGCCGAUGAUUGGCAUGAGAGCAGCUGUUGUAGUCGAAACAGGAAGUCCUUCAAAAUAAAACGGUAACUGAGACCGAAAACAUGACAGAGAUAAAUAUGAG